UACAGAGGUCUCAAGCGUUGUUCGGAUUCAUUGGGCGUAAAGGGUGCGUAGGUGGCGAUGUAAGUCUGGUGUGAAAUUUCAGGGCUCAACCUUGAAACUGCAUUGGAUACUGCGUUGCUUGAGGAUUGUAGAGGAGAGUGGAAUUCACGGUGUAGCAGUGAAAUGCGUAGAUAUCGUGAGGAAGACCAGUUGCGAAGGCGACUCUCUGGGCAAUUCCUGACACUGAGGCACGAAGGCCAGGGGAGCAAACGGG
rnacentral:rRNA from 1 species